CCAAUAGCGUAUAUUAAAGUUGUUGCAGUUAAAAAGCUCGUAGUUGAAUUUUAGGCCUGACCGGGCGGUCCGUCUCUGGCGAGUACUGUUCUGUUGUCGGGUCUAUCCUUCUGGUGAGCCGGUAUGUCCUUUAUUGGGUGUGUCGGGGAACCAGGACCAUUACCUUGAAAAAAUUAGAGUGUUUAAAGCGGGCUUUUGCUUGAAUAGAUUAGCAUGGAAUAAUAGAAUAGGACGUUGGUUCUAUUUUGUUGGUCUAGGACCACCGUAAUGAUUAAUAGGGAUAGUUGGGGGCAUUAGUAUUCAAUUGUCAGAGGUGAAAUUCUUGGAUUUAUUGAAGACUAACUACUGCGAAAGCAUUGGCCAAGGAUGUUUUCAUUAAUCAAGAACGAAAGUUAGGGGAUCGAAGACGAUCAGAUACCGUCGUAGUCUUAACCAUAAACUAUGCCGACUAGGAAUCGGGCGACGUUAUUUUCAUGACUCGCUCGGCGCCUUAUG
rnacentral:rRNA from 1 species